rnacentral:rRNA from 1 species
GUAGGUGGCAAGCGUUGUCCGGAAUUAUUGGGCGUAAAGCGCGCGCAGGCGGUUCUUUAAGUCUGAUGUGAAAGCCCACGGCUCAACCGUGGAGGGUCAUUGGAAACUGGAGAACUUGAGUACAGAAGAGGAAAGCGGAAUUCCACGUGUAGCGGUGAAAUGCGUAGAGAUGUGGAGGAACACCAGUGGCGAAGGCGGCUUUCUGGUCUGUAACUGACGCUGAGGCGCGAAAGCGUGGGGAGCAAACAGGAUUAGAUACCCUGGUAGUCCACGCCGUAAACGGUGAGUGCUAAGUGUUAGGGGGUUUCCGCCCCCUUAGUGCUGCAGCUAACGCAUUAAGCACUCCGCCUGGGGUGUACGGCCGCAAGGCUG